AGAUUUUGUUACAUUUAGCUUGUUUCCCAGAGGGCAAUGCCGGCUAGCUGUCGACCCCAGGGCUGGGUAGUUCCCCUUGCCCGCCAAAUGUAGACAAAAAAAGGAGACAUACUACUUCUCGGGACAUCAAAACUAACAACAACCUAACAACAACAAAGAAAAUCAUAAACAGACGGCUAUCAAGUGGGUGAAGCUUGGGUGUUAUCACUUCGCGCGCCCGCCCUACCUGUGACCAAACACAACGUUCAUUUUGGCCACCCUCUGCUGGAACGGGAUACCCUCACCCAUUCGUACUGGACUAUGUGUAGAUGAGUGGGGACUGGAUCCGUCUUACGGGAGUUAAUUCAACUCGGGCCCCUACGGAGACCUGACCUACCAAGAGCUCUUGUUAAGGGUCCCCGGGACAUAAACAAUAUUUUCCACAAUUCACUCGACCAAAUACGGUGGACUGAUGGGACCCCCGCGUCACCCGCUAAGGGUUAAUCUUCUGGCGUUGACCAGCUGAUCGCAGAUUUACGUUUGUGAAAGGUGUUGGUGUUUUUACAUACAUAUUUUUUUUCACUGGCCAAGAUUUUACGUUAAACGUUUUGAGCUUAUACUAAAUACAGAAUAAAGGACAACACACGGAACAAAAUAACAUUUACAGUGGAACGGUGUUUGGAGUGCGGAUUAUUUGUUUUUCUUUAAGUUCAAUAACGUGGGCUCGCUGAUCGCUGGCCGUGGCCGGUCAGCCCUAAAUUUAUCUAGUAACGGCUCCAGCUCCCCCCGAUGUCCCCAUCGACCAUCGAGCCUCCCUGGACUUCCGCUAGAUGGCGCGUCGCCCUCAGCCCUGGCCACC